rfam:Erinaceus europaeus unplaced genomic scaffold scaffold00740, whole genome shotgun sequence
CCAAAGGCUCUUUUAAGAGCCACCCAAGCAAUUUCAAAAGGGUGU